rnacentral:rRNA from 1 species
UACGUAGGGUGCGAGCGUUGUCCGGAAUUAUUGGGCGUAAAGAGCUCGUAGGCGGUGUGUCGCGUCGGCCCGUGAAAACUUGGGGCUCAACUCCGGAUCUGCGGUGGGUACGGGCAGACUAGAGUGAUGUAGGGGGAGACUGGAAUUCCUGGUGUAGCGGUGAAAUGCGCAGAUAUCAGGAGGAACACCGGUGGCGAAGGCGGGUCUCUGGGCCGAUACUGACGCUGAGGAGCGAAAGCGUGGGGAGCGAACAGG